rnacentral:rRNA from 1 species
GUAGGGUGCGAGCGUUAAUCGGAAUUACUGGGCGUAAAGCGUGCGCAGGCGGUCUGUUAAGACAGAUGUGAAAUCCCCGGGCUCAACCUGGGAACUGCAUUUGUGACUGGCAGGCUAGAGUAUGGCAGAGGGGGGUAGAAUUCCACGUGUAGCAGUGAAAUGCGUAGAGAUGUGGAGGAAUACCGAUGGCGAAGGCAGCCCCCUGGGCCAAUACUGACGCUCAUGGACGAAAGCGUGGGGAGCAAACAGGAUUAGAUACCCUGGUAGUCCACGCCCCUAAACGAUGUCAACUAGUUGUUGGGGAUUCAUUUCCUUAGUAACGUAGCUAACGCGUGAAGUUGACCGCCUGGGAGUACGGUCGCAAGAUUA